AUACAUGCAAGUCGAACGCUUUGUCUUUAAUUGAUCUGACGAGCUUGCUCUGAUGUGAUUUUAUCUGACAAAGAGUGGCGAACGGGUGAGUAACACGUGGGUAACCUACCUCUUAGCAGGGGAUAACAUUUGGAAACAAGUGCUAAUACCGUAUAAUACCAACAACCGCAUGGUUGUUGGUUGAAAGAUGGUUCUGCUAUCACUAAGAGAUGGACCCGCGGUGCAUUAGCUAGUUGGUAAGGUAACGGCUUACCAAGGCAAUGAUGCAUAGCCGAGUUGAGAGACUGAUCGGCCACAAUGGGACUGAGACACGGCCCAUACUCCUACGGGAGGCAGCAGUAGGGAAUCUUCCACAAUGGGCGCAAGCCUGAUGGAGCAACGCCGCGUGUGUGAUGAAGGGUUUCGGCUCGUAAAACACUGUUAUAAGAGAAGAACGGCACUGAGAGUAACUGUUCAGUGUGUGACGGUAUCUUACCAGAAAGGAACGGCUAAAUACGUGCCAGCAGCCGCGGUAAUACGUAUGUUCCAAGCGUUAUCCGGAUUUAUUGGGCGUAAAGCGAGCGCAGACGGUUAUUUAAGUCUGAAGUGAAAGCCCUCAGCUCAACUGAGGAAUGGCUUUGGAAACUGGAUGACUUGAGUGCAGUAGAGGAAAGUGGAACUCCAUGUGUAGCGGUGAAAUGCGUAGAUAUAUGGAAGAACACCAGUGGCGAAGGCGGCUUUCUGGACUGUAACUGACGUGAGGCUC
rnacentral:rRNA from 1 species